rnacentral:rRNA from 1 species
GAUGAACGCUGGCGGCGUGCCUAAUACAUGCAAGUCGAGCGAACAGACGAGGAGCUUGCUCCUCUGACGUUAGCGGCGGACGGGUGAGUAACACGUGGAUAACCUACCUAUAAGACUGGGAUAACUUCGGGAAACCGGAGCUAAUACCGGAUAAUAUAUUGAACCGCAUGGUUCAAUAGUGAAAGACGGUUUUGCUGUCACUUAUAGAUGGAUCCGCGCCGCAUUAGCUAGUUGGUAAGGUAACGGCUUACCAAGGCAACGAUGCGUAGCCGACCUGAGAGGGUGAUCGGCCACACUGGAACUGAGACACGGUCCAGACUCCUACGGGAGGCAGCAGUAGGGAAUCUUCCGCAAUGGGCGAAAGCCUGACGGAGCAACGCCGCGUGAGGGAUGAAGGUCUUCGGAUCGUAAAACUCUGUUAUUAGGGAAGAACAAAUGUGUAAGUAACUAUGCACGUCUUGACGGUACCUAAUCAGAAAGCCACGGCUAACUACG